CCUACGGGAGGCAGCAGUGAGGAAUAUUGGUCAAUGGACGCAAGUCUGAACCAGCCAUGCCGCGUGCAGGAAGACGGCUCUAUGAGUUGUAAACUGCUUUUGUACGAGGGUAAACGCAGAUACGCGUAUCUGUCUGAAAGUAUCGUACGAAUAAGGCUCGGCUAACUCCGUGCCAGCAGCCGCGGUAAUACGGAGGAUUCAAGCGUUAUCCGGAUUUAUUGGGUUUAAAGGGUGCGUAGGCGGUCGGAUAAGUUAGAGGUGAAAUCCCGAGGCUCAACUUCGGAAUUGCCUCUGAUACUGUGCGGCUAGAGAGUAGUUGAGGUAGGCGGAAUGUAUGGUGUAGCGGUGAAAUGCUUAGAGAUCAUACAGAACACCGAUUGCGAAGGCAGCUUACCAAGCUACUUCUGACGUUGAGGCACGAAAGCGUGGGGAGCAAACAGGAUUAGAUACCCCUGUAGUC
rnacentral:rRNA from 1 species